GGAAGGCACCGCCCAGUGGUGGGCGCACGGUUUCGAAAGCCGUUGGCACGCAUAGCGCGUGGGGGUUCGACUCCUCUGUCUUCCG
rnacentral:tRNA from 1 species